AUCGAACGCUGGCGGCAGGCCUAAUACAUGCAAGUCGAACGAGUGGCGGACGGGUGAGUAAUGCCUGGGAAACUGCCUGAUGGAGGGGGAUAAUUACCGGAAACGGUAGCUAAUACCGUAUACCACCAGAUGUGCCCAGAUGGGAUUAGCUUGUUGGUGGGGUAACGGCUCACCAAGGCGACGAUCGCUAGCGGGUCUGAGAGGAUGACCAGCCACACUGGAACGGAGACACGGUCCAGACUCCUACUGGAGGCAGCAGUGAGGAAUAUUGCACAAUGGGCGCAAGCCUGAUGCAGCCAUGCCUCGUGUAUGACGAAGGCCUUCGGGUUGUAAAGUACUUUCAGCGGGGAGUCGUUACCCGCAGAAGACGCGCCGGCUAACUCCGUGCCAGCAGCCGCGGUAAUUC
rnacentral:rRNA from 1 species